rnacentral:rRNA from 1 species
UACGGAGGGUGCAAGCGUUGUCCGGAUUUAUUGGGUUUAAAGGGUGCGUAGGCGGCUCUUUAAGUCAGUGGUGAAAUACUGCAGCUCAACUGUAGCAUUGCCAUUGAUACUGAAGAGCUUGAGUACAGAUGAGGUAGGCGGAAUUUAUGGUGUAGCGGUGAAAUGCUUAGAUAUCGUCAAGAACACCUAUAGCGAAGGCAGCUUACUAGGCUGUAACUGACGCUGAGGCACGAAAGUGUGGGGAUCAAACAGG